rnacentral:hammerhead_ribozyme from 1 species
AUCCAGCUGACGAGUCCUAAAUAGGGUGAAACGCUCAUCAAUCUGGAU